AAACCGACACAGGUGGGUGAGGAGAGUAUCCUAAGGCCAGCGAGAGAACUGUUGUUAAGGAACUCGGCAAAAUGACCCCGUAACUUAGGGAUAAGGGGUGCCACCAUCAGGUGGCCGCAGAGAAUAGGCCCAAGCGACUGUUUACCAUAAACAUAGGUUUCUGCUAAGUCGCAAGACGAUGUAUAGGAGCUGACGCCUGCCCGGUGCUGGAAGGUUAAGGGGAUCUGUUAGAGCAAUCGAAGCAGUGAACUUAAGCCCCAGUAAACGGCGGCCGUAACUAUAACGGUCCUAAGGUAGCGAAAUUCCUUGUCGGGUAAGUUCCGACCCGCACGAAAGGCGUAACGAUUUGGGCACUGUCUCAACAACAGACUCGGUGAAAUUGUAAUUCCGGUGAAGAUGCCGGAUACCUGCGACAGGACGGAAAGACCCCAUGGAGCUUUACUGUAGCUUGACAUUGGGUCUUGGUACUACAUGUACAGGAUAGGUGGGAGGCUUUGAAACCAGGACGCCAGUUUUGGCGGAGCCAUCCUUGGGAUACCACCCUUGUAGUACUGGGACUCUAACCAUAGGCCAUGAAUCUGGUCUUGGGACACUGUCAGGUGGGCAGUUUGACUGGGGCGGUCGCCUCCCAAAAGGUAACGGAGGCGCUCAAAGGUUCUCUCAGUACGGUCGGAAAUCGUACGUAGAGUGUAAAGGCAAAAGAGAGCUUGAUUGCAAGACAUACAGGUCGAGCAAGGAUGAAAAUCGGACUUAGUGAUCCGGUGGUUCUGCGUGGAAGGGCCAUCGCUCAACGGAUAAAAGCUACCCUGGGGAUAACAGGCUUAUCUCCCCCAAGAGUCCACAUCGACGGGGAGGUUUGGCACCUCGAUGUCGGCUCAUCACAUCCUGGGGCUGUAGUAGGUCCCAAGGGUUGGGCUGUUCGCCCAUUAAAGUGGUACGCGAGCUGGGUUCAGAACGUCGUGAGACAGUUCGGUCCCUAUCCGUCGCAGGCGUAGGAAAUUUGAGAAGACCUGUCCUUAGUACGAGAGGACCGGGAUGGACGUACCUCUGGUGUACCAGUUGU
rnacentral:rRNA from 1 species